rnacentral:lncRNA from 1 species
GGUCGCGUCAACUGUGUUUACGAGUGUCUUGUGUUCAGAUUGUUUUAAGUGAUAAUUUAACAAUAUUUUUCCAAAUAAAUGGAAAGAAACUUUUAUUUAUAUCAAAUAAUUGAGUGUCUCGACUGUGUGACAUUAUGUCUUGUGUGGUAUGGGGCUGCAGCUCACAUUCAGGAAGAAAAGAAAAUAGCCAACAACUUCUGUCGUUUCAUCGAUAUUAAAUCCAAAAGUGUCGACUGGAUUUACAUGAAAAGUCAGUUCAAGAAGACGAGAUGAAAAAUUUAAAAGAAAAGCUGAACAAGUCCCGCCUCAAGAUCAAACGACUUAAUGAAAAAAAAAAAAACAAUGUGACAGGGUGUCACAAAGACAGUUUCUAAGCAAAUUGACACUGUUUAGAAAUUAAUAAAUUUGUAUUUAUUGUAAAUAUAAUGUACAUAAUUAAUAACGUGUGAAAUAAAUACUUGCUAAUGAAAAUGAACAGAUUUACGAUCUAAUUUAUAUUUCAUUUUACCUCCUGUUCUUAUUUACUCCUACUCCAACACUCCAGGUUGAUACGAACUGCGCCCAAUAAAGAAUGUAAUGAAUGUUAUAGAUUUGUGUAAGCGACUUAGAUAAAUCUUGACUAAACCUUCCUUUACAAAUACAAAUAUACUUUAUUGCACACAACAUACAAUACUUACAAGUUUUACACGAAAGAUACAGUACACCACCUACCUACCUUUUACUUUCCCUUUCUGUUCUCUUAUGAAUA